rnacentral:rRNA from 1 species
CGCGAAUUCGCCCUUCGGGGUGCAGCAGGCGCGAAAACUUUACAAUGCGGGAAACCGUGAUAAGGGGACACCGAGUGCCAGCAUCAUAUGCUGGCUGUCCAGGUGUGUAAAAUACACCUGUUAGCGAGGGCCGGGCAAGACCGGUGCCAGCCGCCGCGGUAACACCGGCGGCCCGAGUGGUGAUCGUGAUUAUUGGGUCUAAAGGGUCCGUAGCCGGUUUGGUCAGUCCUCCGGGAAAUCUGACGGCUCAACCGUUAGGCUUUCGGGGGAUACUGCCAGGCUUGGAACCGGGAGAGGUAAGAGGUACUACAGGGGUAGGAGUGAAAUCUUGUAAUCCCUGUGAGACCACCUGUGGCGAAGGCGUCUUACCAGAACGGGUUCGACGGUGAGGGACGAAAGCUGGGGGCACGAACCGGAUUAGAUACCCGGGUAGUCCCAGCCGUAAACGAUGCUCGCUAGGUGUCAGGCAUGGCGCGACCGUGUCUGGUGCCGCAGGGAAGCCGUGAAGCGAGCCACCUGGGAAGUACGGCCGCAAGGCUGAAACUUAAAGGAAUUGGCGGGGGAGCAC